rnacentral:rRNA from 1 species
GACACGGUCCAAACUCCUACGGGAGGCAGCAGUGAGGAAUAUUGGUCAAUGGGCGAGAGCCUGAACCAGCCAAGUAGCGUGAAGGAUGACUGCCCUAUGGGUUGUAAACUUCUUUUAUAAAGGAAUAAAGUCGGGUAUGUAUACCCGUUUGCAUGUACUUUAUGAAUAAGGAUCGGCUAACUCCGUGCCAGCAGCCGCGGUAAUACGGAGGAUCCGAGCGUUAUCCGGAUUUAUUGGGUUUAAAGGGAGCGUAGGUGGAUAGUUAAGUCAGUUGUGAAAGUUUGCGGCUCAACCGUAAAAUUGCAGUUGAUACUGGCUGUCUUGAGUACAGUAGAGGUGGGCGGAAUUCGUGGUGUAGCGGUGAAAUGCUUAGAUAUCACGAAGAACUCCGAUUGCGAAGGCAGCACACUAAGCCGUAACUGACGUUCAUGCUCGAAAGUGUGGGUAUCAAACAGGAUUAGAUACCCUGGUAGUCCACACGGUAAACGAUGAAUACUCGCUGUUUGCGAUAUACAGCAAGCGGCCAAGCGAAAGCGUUAAGUAUUCCACCUGGGGAGUACGCCGGCAACGGUGAAACUCAAAGGAAUUGACGGGGGCCCGCACAAGCGGAGGAACAUGUGGUUUAAUUCGAUGAUACGCGAGGAACCUUACCCGGGCUUAAAUUGCAGAUGAAUUACGGUGAAAGCCGUAAGCCGCAAGGCAUCUGUGAAGGUGCUGCAUGGUUGUCGUCAGCUCGUGCCGUGAGGUGUCGGCUUAAGUGCCAUAACGAGCGCAACCCUUGUUGUCAGUUACUAACAGGUUCCGCUGAGGACUCUGACAAGACUGCCAUCGUAAGAUGUGAGGAAGGUGGGGAUGACGUCAAAUCAGCACGGCCCUUACGUCCGGGGCUACACACGUGUUACAAUGGGGGGUACAGAGGGCCGCUACCACGCGAGUGGAUGCCAAUCCCAAAAACCUCUCUCAGUUCGGACUGGAGUCUGCAACCCGACUCCACGAAGCUGGAUUCGCUAGUAAUCGCGCAUCAGCCACGGCGCGGUGAAUACGUUCCCGGGCCUUGUACACACCGCCCGUCAAGCCAUGGGAGCCGGGGGUACCUGAAGUGCGUAACCGCGAGGAGCGCCCUAGGGUAAAACUGGUGACUGGGGCUAAGUCGUAACAAGGUAGCCGUACCGGAAGGUGCGGCUG